rnacentral:rRNA from 1 species
CUCUUUCUCGAUUCAGUGGAUGGUGGUGCAUGGCCGUUCUUAGUUGGUGGAGUGAUCUGUCUGGUUAAUUCCGAUAACGAACGAGACUCUCCCCUGCUAACUAGUCGGUUGGAUCUUGAUCAGUGGGUUGAGUGCCGAGUAACUCUCGCUGUGCGUGGUGUGCGUUUCGUUCCUCACGGUUCGUUGCGUGCUCAUGUGUGGCGUUGGAUGCCUUGGAUCACACUGCACCCCAAGUCCGCCGCUUUGCUAUAACUCUUCUUAGAGGGAUUCACGGCACUGAAGCCGUAAGAGACUGAGAGCAAUAACAGGUCUGUGAUGCCCUUAGAUGCUCUGGGCCGCACGCGCGCUACAAUGCCGGGCACAGCAGGUGUUUCUCCUGCUCCGACAGGAGCGGGUAACCCUCUGAAAGCCAGUGUUCUUGCAAGUGCUUCCUCCCUCGUGGAGUUGCACAGAGGCGUGCUUGGGCCUGGGACUUGCAAUUCUUUCCCACCAACGAGGAAUGCCUAGUAGCGGCGGGUCACUGAGCCCGCUGUGACUCAGUCCCUGCCCUUUGUACACACCGCCCGUCGCUACUACCGAUUGGGUGUACCAGUGAGAGCCUUGGACUGGCGUCCGUUGUUGCUCGCAAGAGUGACAAGCGGGUCCGACGGAAAGAGGUCCGAA